GGUCGGAUGGUGUAGUUGGUUAUCACGUGUCCUUAACACGGACAAGGUCCUGGGUUCGAACCCCAGUCUGAUCA
rnacentral:tRNA from 2 species